ACCGAUAGACGCGAUGCAGACACGAUUGGAGUCCUCGAGGCUUCUCUGACGAAGAAUACGCAGCGAAAAGGUUUACAAACCUAUUGACCAAGAGAGAAAUCGGAAGAGAAUUCAAGUUCGUCGCGAAAUUAGAGAAGAACAAAAACAAAUCUGAGAAAGGAACUCAGAGAUCUGCAACCUAUACCAGAGAAACCCUAGAAAUUAGAGGAAUCACAACACCAACCGAUUAAUCGGUGGAAAUGGUGUUUUAAUCAGUGGAAGCAAAGGAUAAUAAGAGGAAAAUGGUUUUAAUCGGUGGAAAUUUAGGAAAUGGUGAAAUAAUGAGAAUAAACCCUAGGCUGGUGAAAGUAAUCGGUGAAAGUGGAAGGAAAGUGACCGGAGAUAAUGAAACUGUGAAGAAAUGGACAGAUCUGUGGAGAAAAUGGUGACCUACGCUGAAGAACUGAGGUUGGCGACGAUGAACUCGAGAGAGAAAAUGGAGCUCUCGAGGAAUGACACUGGAGAAAGGAAAUGGCCUCUGGAAUGUGUGAAAUGGAAAGUUGAAAGUGAGGCGUAGACGAAUCCAAGGCGCUGACGCGUGCAAGAGAAGCUGAAGAUGUGGCGGAUGUUUAAUGGUGCAGCGUGUAUGAGAGAGAAAGCACCAUGGAAAUGGAAAAUAAGAGUGAGAGAGGUGCUUGGAAGGUGGCUAGAGGGAGUCUUUGGACUCUCUAGCCUAUGACUUUCAAGAGAGAAUUAAUUCUGAGUUUCAGAAAUCUAAUUCUCAUUAAUCUCAAAAGUGAAUAUUACAAAUGAGGAGCUGGGUAUUUAUAGUGACCCAUGCUCCUUGCAAGCUACAUUACAGAUACAAUAAAAUGUAAAAAGAGGACUACAUGAGACAGGAUUCCAUCAUACCCUCCCUCUUAAAAAAAGAUUUGUCCUCAAAUCUGGCAAUGGCCUUAUGGAGAGGCUCCACAUAGUCUUGGGAGCAUGGCCAUCUUGAAGUGGCCUUAUUCUUGGAGAUCCACUUUUCUUCCUCCUGGAUCAAAGACGAAUCUGCAAUAUGCAUCAAAUAUAUCUUCAAUUAAUACCAAUCCAAAGAGGAAGUUUUCUACAAAAAGAAGAGAACAAGGACUCCUAGUAUUUUGAUUUGUAAUCUUUGAAAAUGUUAGAAGUCCAAAUUCAAUAUUGUCUUGAAUUACUUGUUUUCUUGAAGAUAACAAUAACUCAAGAUUUGAAUUGCCAUAGUUUGAAAAUUUUUGCAUAGAAUAUGGAAUGGCAAUGGGUUGGAAAGAGAAAUCAAAACUGGAAGAGUGAAUAAUGAUGGGAAAAGAUUGAAAACCUUCCCUUUUAAGAUUGGGUUCUUUGGUUGGAGUCAAAAUUGCUCUUAAUAGCACUUCCUCCUUUUCUUUCUUUUCCCUUUCUUGUCUUUCCUCUUGUUCUCUUCCCUAUUUUUCUUCUCUCUUUCUCUUCUCUUCUUCUCUCCUCUCUUCUCUUCUUAUUCCCUCUCUUCUCUCUUCUUCUUCUCUUCUUAAUUUCUCUCUUCUCUCUUCUUCUUCUCUUCUUAAUUCCUCUUUUCUCUCUUCUUCUCUUCUUAAUUCCUCUCUUCUCUCUUCUUCUUUCUCUCUUUGCUCUUCUCUUUUUCUCCUGUCUUCUUUCCUUUCUUCCUUUUCUCUUCUCUCAAUCUCUCUUGCUCUUUUCUUAUCCAUGAUCUCUUUAAGUCUUGCCCCAAAUUCUAACUCUCUCCUAAGAAACCCAUGAUCAUUUAAACUCUCAAGAAAGAUUUUUCCAUUUUUAAUGCAAUCUUUAAUUAAUCUAGGUUUCUUUUAGGCUGUGUUCACUUGGGGGUGAUUGAGGGAGAUGAUUUGGAGGAGAGUGAUUGAAUGAAUUUGAGGAGAUUUGAGAGUAAAUUUUUUUGUGUUUAUUUGAAGAGAUUUGAAGGUGAUUGAGAGUGGGUUUAGAGGUAAAGUUUGUAAAAAUUAGUGUAGAAUUUGAUUGAUGUGACAGUUUUAAAAAAUUUGUUUAAUGGGUAGAAAUUAGAGAUUACCAAAAUACCCCUAAUUAUUAAAGUAAUAUAAAAUGAUAAUUGUUAAUAGUAUAUUUAAUUGUAAAAAUGUUUAUAAAAAAUAAAAAAUUAAAAUUAAUU
rnacentral:lncRNA from 1 species